AGCAAACAGGAUUAGAUACCCUGGUAGUCCACGCCGUAAACGAUGUCGACUUGGAGGUUGUGCCCUUGAGGCGUGGCUUCCGGAGCUAACGCGUUAAGUCGACCGCCUGGGGAGUACGGCCGCAGGGUUAAAACUCAAAUGAAUUGACGGGGGCCCGCACAAGCGGUGGAGCAUGUGGUUUAAUUCGAUGCAACGCGAAGAACCUUACCUGGUCUUGACAUCCACGGAAGUUUUCAGAGAUGAGAAUGUGCCUUCGGGAACCGUGAGACAGGUGCUGCAUGGCUGUCGUCAGCUCGUGUUGUGAAAUGUUGGGUUAAGUCCCGCAACGAGCGCAACCCUUAUCCUUUGUUGCCAGCGGUCCGGCCGGGAACUCAAAGGAGACUGCCAGUGAUAAACUGGAGGAAGGUGGGGAUGACGUCAAGUCAUCAUGGCCCUUACGACCAGGGCUACACACGUGCUACAAUGGCGCAUACAAAGAGAAGCGACCUCGCGAGAGCAAGCGGACCUCAUAAAGUGCGUCGUAGUCCGGAUUGGAGUCUGCAACUCGACUCCAUGAAGUCGGAAUCGCUAGUAAUCGUGGAUCAGAAUGCCACGGUGAAUACGUUCCCGGGCCUUGUACACACCGCCCGUCACACCAUGGGAGUGGGUUGCAAAAGAAGUAGGUAGUUUAACCUUCGGGAGGGCGCUUACCACUUUGUGAUUCAUGACUGGGGUGAAGUCGUAACAAGGUAACCGUA
rnacentral:rRNA from 1 species